GACGAACGCUGGCGGCGUGCUUAACACAUGCAAGUCGAACGGAAAGGCUCCAGCUUGCUGGAGUACUCGAGUGGCGAACGGGUGAGUAACACGUGGGUAAUCUGCCCUGCACUCUGGGAUAAGCCUGGGAAACUGGGUCUAAUACUGGAUAUGACCUUUCUCCUUAUGGGGUUUGGUGGAAAGUUUUUCGGUGUAGGAUGAGCCCGCGGCCUAUCAGCUUGUUGGUGGGGUGAUGGCCUACCAAGGCGACGACGGGUAGCCGGCCUGAGAGGGUGAUCGGCAACAUUGGGACUGAGAUACGGCCCAGACUCCUACGGGAGGCAGCAGUGGGGAAUAUUGCACAAUGGGCGGAAGCCUGAUGCAGCGACGCCGCGUGAGGGAUGACGGCCUUCGGGUUGUAAACCUCUUUCAGCAGGGACGAAGCGUAAGUGACGGUACCUGCAGAAGAAGCACCGGCUAACUACGUG
rnacentral:rRNA from 1 species